rnacentral:rRNA from 1 species
AAACUUGAGAGUUUGAUCCUGGCUCAGAACGAACGCUGGCGGCAUGCCUAACACAUGCAAGUCGAACGAACUCUUCGGAGUUAGUGGCGCACGGGUGCGUAACGCGUGGGAAUCUGCCCUUGGGUACGGAAUAACUCAGAGAAAUUUGUGCUAAUACCGUAUAAUGUCUUCGGACCAAAGAUUUAUCGCCCAAGGAUGAGCCCGCGUAAGAUUAGCUAGUUGGUGAGGUAAAAGCUCACCAAGGCGACGAUCUUUAGCUGGUCUGAGAGGAUG